rnacentral:sRNA from 1 species
UGUAUCUGAAGCCUGAAGAGGAUGAGAACCUCCGGGGGCAAGAGGUUCGACUCGAGCGAAGCGAGAGAACGUUGCAUCAGCAACGGCCCGCAGGGCGAGCCACGC